rnacentral:lncRNA from 1 species
GGAGAAGCCCUCUCCCGUGAGUGCUGCUCACCCUAUCAGGAGCUCCAAGGCGCUUUAAGGAAACUCCUUUUGUCUCUAGAGGAUGAAACAGAUUCAUUUACAAAGCAGUUUUCCUGAACUUAGUUAAUGACCCUGAUGGCUGCGUGCUCUCUUGAGGGGCCAGAGAGGCAAAGCUGAGAUCAAGGGCACUUCACUGUGCUUCUCUUUUCAACGGGGUCCCAUUCUGGGCUCCCGACCACAGCGGCUCAAAUCUUAAUUUGACAUCACUGCAGAUGAAACCCAAACCGAAGCUCUCGUACUGUUCCCGCGCUGAGCCCUCCCUCCCCAUCUCACUGAGGCGCGCACGCGGCCUGCCCUUCCCCUGGGGCCGGGACCUGGGGGGUUGGCUAGGGGCGGCCUUCCCUGCACUGUCGACCGAAACCACAAGGAUGUUUGAGCACGUUUUUAGAUCCCCUCCCCCAUCGGCAACUCCACCGCGCGAACUCCCAGAGGCCCGAGAGCCUCCCGCGUUGAGGAAAACGCUAUGUCCGUCUCAGAUUAGCCUCCUUUGCCAAGGAAACUCGCCAAGAAUCCCUGCGCAACCUGCGCUCUCGCUGUAGAGCAUACUAGGUGGUCUUUCUUUCUUUCUUUUUAGAAUCUUCUUGCUUUUCCCUGUAAGGCAGACCUUAAGGCCUUAAGGAUUGGAACUACAAUAACUGAUGUUUAACAGCAAGUCAGUGCCUAAGAGUUUGGUCUGUGGCCUUAAACGUGCCUUACUUAUUCGAACCAGAAGAGCAAAACAAACUUCCAAUUUAAGGCUUCUUUCCCUUACCCCCAGGCUUUUUGCAGGACCUUCCAGUUCACCUGGCUGGAGGAGGACCGUGAGCCUGGACAGUGGCACAAACCCCGUGCCCGCGCUCAUGCAGGCGCACCCUCAUACGCACACACUUGAACGCUUAGCAAGUCUUUUCCAAGGCUGUUCCCUCUUUCCGGGGAAAUAAAGCCUAGAUUGGAACCUUCUGCCCAGCUUCCUCAUUUGGCCGUCUGGUCUGCAUUAGUGUUUUUAUAAGGGACUCAAACAAAUCGAAUACAAGGUCACCAAAUAAUUAACAGUUGUGAAUUCCCUCCGUCCCCAUUAAAAUACUUCCCUGCUUAUAUUUCAUUUUCGGUUUGCCAACGACAACAGGGUACCGGCAAAAGCACUGCUGAGUUGAUUACACCACUCUGCGGCUCAGGUCCACCCAGAAACCCGCUGUUUUGCAUAACAUGAGGUACCAGAUGAACUUCAAUCGCGAGGGGACUAUGCAACUCUCUGAAUGCCCUCCCCGCAGCCGGGCUAUUCCCAGAAUGGUCCUGCUCUGCCCUUUGGUAAUCACGACCCAGAAGGUGAAUGGAGAAGCCAACAAACAAUCAGUGGCAAACUGUCCUGAGAGUUAUUUCUAGGGCAUCAAGUUCUUCAAGGAUGUUCCCAUCUCGUUUUGGUUUUUAUCUGUU